rnacentral:rRNA from 1 species
CCUACGGGAGACAGCAGUCGAGAAUCAUUCACAAUGGGGGAAACCCUGAUGGUGCGACGCCGCGUGGGGGAAUGAAGGUCUUCGGAUUGUAAACCCCUGUCAUGUGGGAGCAAAUUAAAAAGAUAGUACCACAAGAGGAAGAGACGGCAAACUCUGUGCCAGCAGCCGCGGUAAUACAGAGGUCUCAAGCGUUGUUCGGAAUCACUGGGCGUAAAGGGUGCGUAGGCUGUUUCGUAAGUCGUGUGUGAAAGGCGCGGGCUCAACCCGCGGACGGCACAUGAUACUGCGAGACUAGAGUAAUGGAGGGGGAACCGGAAUUCUCGGUGUAGCAGUGAAAUGCGUAGAUAUCGAGAGGAACACUCGUGGCGAAGGCGGGUUCCUGGACAUUAACUGACGCUGAGGCACGAAGGCCAGGGGAGCGAAAGGGAUUAGAUACCCGGGUAGUC